rnacentral:rRNA from 1 species
UACGUAGGGUGCGAGCGUUGUCCGGAAUUAUUGGGCGUAAAGGGCUCGUAGGCGGUCUGUUACGUCGGGAGUGAAAACUCGGGGCUCAACCCCGAGCCUGCUUCCGAUACGGGCAGACUAGAGGUAUGCAGGGGGGAAUGGAAUUCCUGGUGUAGCGGUGAAAUGCGCAGAUAUCAGGAGGAACACCGGUGGCGAAGGCGGUUCUCUGGGCAUUACCUGACGCUGAGGAGCGAAAGUGUGGGGAGCGAACAGG